rnacentral:rRNA from 1 species
GUAGGUGGCAAGCAUUGUCCGGAAUUAUUGGGCGUAAAGCGCGCGCAGGUGGUUCUUUAAGUCUGAUGUGAAAGCCCCCGGGCUCAACCGGGGAGGGUCAUUGGAAACUGGGGAACUUGAGUGCAGGAGAGGAAAGUGGAAUUCCACGUGUAGCGGUGAAAUGCGUAGAUAUGUGGAGGAACACCAGUGGCGAAGGCGACUUUCUGGCCUGUAACUGACACUGAGGCGCGAAAGCGUGGGGAGCAAACAGGAUUAGAUACCCUGGUAGUCCACGCCGUAAACGAUGAGUGCUAAGUGUUGGGGGGUUUCCGCCCCUCAGUGCUGCAGCUAACGCAUUAAGCACUCCGCCUGGGGAGUACGGUCGCAAAGACUG